AUGGGAGGGUUUAAGGGGACGAGCGGCGAGGAAGAAGACAAGGGCAAAAGGAAAAAAGAUCGAAUAAUGGAAAGGCUAACUUUUUUUUUUGAGGGAAUGGCAAAAGGCUGACGAAAAGGCAAAGCGCUCUGUCCCCCACAGGCCCGCAGCCGAAAGAUUCCGAGUUCUGGGCCAGUGGAACUGGAUCGGCAAGGGGGACCUCGAGCCCGACGGCGUCCACCGGAUCCUGGACUACGCCGCCGACCUCCACGUGGACUUCGCCCACCGGGCCCUGGGCUUCAUUUUCAAGCUCCGCCUCCCGCGGGGCGACGCCCACCUCACGCGCCUCACCGUCGGCGGCAUCCGCGUCGGCCUCUCCAAGCCCUUCUGCGCCCGCUCCCACACCUUCUCCGUCCUCGAGGUCAUCUACCUCGACGGCGUCACGCUCUCCGACCACACCGUCGAGAACCUGGUCGCCGCGUGCCCCCUCCUCCGCACCCUCGACCUGCGCUACUGCGACGGCCUCGAUUUCGUCAACCUCGAGGCCGCCGGGCCGCACCUGAGGAGCCUCACCGUCGCGGAGUGCGGAGGGGUGAGAGACAUUUGUACCAUGGAGGCGCCCAGCCUUCGCUCCUUCCGCUACAGCGGCUCCUACAUCCGCGCCCUGACAAUCCCUGCCACCUGCGCGCUCGCCGACCUUUACCUAUGCUUCGGCGGACCUGCCGGUCGCCUCCGGCCUCUCGGCACCCCACUCUGUUUCGAUUUUGCUUGGCCUGCAGGGGUGCCAAGAAAUUGGCUUCAGGCACUCACCAACCUCUCAAGCCUCACCGUGCUUACCCUCUGCAGCAGUGCCCUGCGGAGAGUGUCUGCCAAGGCUCGUGAGAGAUCACUAACCAAAAGUGGUGCCGCGUCGUGCAAAUUGAGGAAUUUGAGAGAGCUGCAGCUGCUGAUGUUUGCAAUGUACAACAGCAGCCUGGAUGACAUUUACGUUUUCAUGGUGGCCUGCUGCCCCCCUCUUUUAGAGAGGCUGUUUGUGCAGCUUCCAACAAAUAGUCACUAUUAUAGACUGGGCUCAGAACCAUCAGAAUCAGAGGAAGAGCUACUAGAGGAAAAUGGGCCAGUGGAGGAGCUGCGGGGAGAAGAGGCACCUGAGGAAAAUGGGCCAGAGGAAGAGCUACCAGAAGAGGAAGAUGAGCUUCAGGAGGAGCUACUAGAGGGAGAGCUGGCAGAAGAGGAAGAUGAGCUUCAAGACAAGCUGCCAGAGGGAGAGCUAUCAGAAGAGGAAGAUGAGCUUCAAGACGAGCUGCCAGAGGGAGAGCUAUCAGAAGAGGAAGAUGAGCUUCAAGACGAGCUGCCAGAGGGAGAGCUAUCAGAAGAGGAAGAUGAGCUUCGAGACGAGCUGCCAGAGGGAGAGGCGUCGGAGGAAAAUCAGUCAGAGGAAGACUGGUCAGAUGAAGAGCUAUCUGAUGGAGGGCAAUCAGAGGAAGAGCCAGUAGAGGGUUGCCUUGAGAACCUUAAGUUGCUCAAGAUGACGAAUUUCAAGGGGGGUGACAAUGAGAUGAGGCUACUAAGAUUUGUGUUGAGGAACUCUACUAGUCUCAACCAACUGCUGCUAUUUACAUCGAAGAGUGAUCGACCAGAGUGGCUCCAGAAGGAUUAUCUGGAUACAUCCGAUAUUCUUGAAACAAAAAUAUUGCCUCUCCAAAAAGCCCUACCAAAUUGCCAGAUAAUUCUCGGUGAGUCUGAUGGUGAUGCAAUUCAGGCAUUUCAUCGGGAGGCCUUUGUCGACGUCUAGUUAUUUCCGGAGCCCAUCCCCCUCGUCGACCUUAGCCGGCUCACGGACGCCGACGAGGCCGAGAGGCUCCGGGCGGCUCUGCAGACCUGGGGCUUCUUCCUGGCCACCAACCAUGGGAUCGAGGACUCUCUCAUGGACGCCAUGACGAGCGUGUCGAGGGAGUUCUUCCGGCAGCCGGCGGAGGAGAGGCAGAAAUGCAGCAACCUGGUGGACGGCAACGGCAAGGACUACCAGGUGGAAGGGUAUGGCAGUGACAAGGUGGUGUCCGACGAUCAGGUCCUCAACUGGAGCGACCGGUUGCAUCUGAGAGUGGAGCCGGAGGAUGAGAGGAAUUUCGCCAAGUGGCCCAGUCACCCCGAAUCUUUCAGGGAUGUGCUACAAGAGUAUGCAUCAAGAAUCAAGAAAAUAAGAGACCUCGUCUUACGGUCGAUAGCCAAGCUCCUGGAGAUUGACGAGGACUACUUCGUCAACCAGAUAUCAAACAAGGCCCCCGGGUUUGCUAGAUUCAACUACUACCCUCCAUGUCCGAGGCCUGACCUAGUUUUGGGCCUCAGGGCUCACUCCGACGGUGGUCUCCUUACCAUCCUUUUCAACGAUGACACCGUCGGUGGCUUGCAAGUUCAGAGAGAUGGGAGAUGGUACAAUGUUCCAGCAAAGCCUCACACAUUGCUGAUUAACCUAGCAGACUGCCUAGAAAUAAUGAACAAUGGAAUCUUUACGAGCCCGGUUCACAGAGUGGUGACGAACGUCGAGAAGGAUAGGCUUUCCUUGGCUGUGUUUUACGCCGUGGAUGCAGAAACGAUGUUGGAGCCAGCGCCCGGUUUGCUGGAUGACAAGCGACCGCCAAGAUAUAAGAAAAUGGUGGCCAAGGAUUUUGUGGCUGGGCUCUUUGAACAUUUCCGUCAAGGGAAGAGAUUCAUUGACACCCUGAAAAUAUAGGUUCGCUGUUUAUUAUGGAGCCGUAGAAGUGAUUGCUAUAAAGAAUAAAGAGAUGGUUUUAUCUAUUGUGCCAGUGGGGGUCUACCUUCGCCUUUCUUA